ACACGAGGACGUGACAUACGGCAUGGUGCAAGGAGGUCGUAGGUCAUGCAGAGUGAUGGCGGAAUAUGCUGCACUGCGUGCGACCUCCCUUCACGACGCUGGGUCUCUCCGGUCAGAGAUC
rnacentral:precursor_RNA from 13 species